rnacentral:pre_miRNA from 2 species
CUACAUCUACCCUGUAGAUCCGAAUUUGUUUGCCACUAGACUACAAAUUCGGUUCUAGAGAGGUUUGUGUG